rnacentral:rRNA from 1 species
UACGAAGGGUGCAAGCGUUGUCCGGAAUUAUUGGGCGUAAAGCGCUCGUAGGCGGUCUGUUGCGUCGGCUGUGAAAACCCGGGGCUCAACCCCGGACUUGCAGUGGGUACUGGCAGUCUAGAGUGUGGUAGGGGAGACUGGAAUUCCUGGUGUAGCGGUGAAAUGCGCAGAUAUCAGGAGGAACACCGAUGGCGAAGGCAGGUCUCUGGGCCACUACUGACGCUGAGAAGCGAAAGCAUGGGGAGCGAACAGG